rnacentral:rRNA from 1 species
AGAACGAACGCUGGCGGCACGCCUAACACAUGCAAGUCGAGCGCCCAGCAAUGGGAGCGGCGGACGGGUGAGGAACACGUGGGAAUAUGCCUUUCGGUUCGGCACAACUGCGGGAAACUGCAGCUAAUUCCGGAUACGCCCUUACGGGGAAAGAUUUAUCGCCGAAAGAUUAGCCCGCGUCUGAUUAGCUAGUUGGUGAGGUAAUGGCUCACCAAGGCUUCGAUCAGUAGCUGGUUUGAGAGAACGACCAGCCACACUGGGACUGAGACACGGCCCAGACUCCUACGGGAGGCAGCAGUGGGGAAUCUUGGACAAUGGAGGAAACUCUGAUCCAGCGAUGCCGCGUGAGUGAUGAAGGCCUUCGGGUUGUAAACUCUUUUACCAGGGAAGAUAAUGACUGUACCUGGAGAAUAAGCUCCGGCUAACUUCGCGCCAGCAGCCGC